AAUAGAUACCCCGGUAGUCCACGCUGUAAACGUUGGACACUAGGUGUGGCGGUCUGAUCAACGACUGCCGUGCCGAAGCUAACGCAUUAAGUGUCCCGCCUGGGGAGUACGGCCGCAAGGCUAAAACUCAAAGGAAUUGACGGGUCCCCGCGCAAGCGGCGGAGCAUGCGGCUUAAUUCGAUGCAACCCGAAGAACCUUACCUGGGUUUGACAUCAUGGGAAAAGCCGUGGAAACACGGUGUCCGUAAGGGCCCAUGACAGGUGGUGCAUGGCUGUCGUCAGCUCGUGUCGUGAGAUGUUGGGUUAAGUCCCGCAACGAGCGCAACCCUUGUCCUAUGUUGCCAGCGGUUCGGCCGGGGACUCAUAGGAGACUGCCGGGGAUAACUCGGAGGAAGGUGAGGACGAUGUCAAGUCAUCAUGCCCCUUAUAUCCAGGGCUGCACGCAUGCUACAAUGGUCGGUACAACGGGCAGCGAUCCUGCGAAGGUGAGCGAAUCCCACAAAGCCGGCCUCAGUUCGGAUUGGAGU
rnacentral:rRNA from 1 species